rnacentral:lncRNA from 1 species
AAGUUUUCUAUUUUGGAUUCUCAGAAAGUUUUCAAGUUCAUGCUUUGCUUACUAAAUUUUGUUUCUUUUUGGAAAUGGAAAUCCUUGAAAGUUUGUUUCAAGAUUCAUAUUUCUUAAUUUUUUAUUUAAUUCAAAUUAAAAAUCAUUCAAUUUGGGCUUCUGAAUCAUUUCAAGUUCAAGUCAUAAUUUUAUUGUAAAUCUUCACCUCACCCGAGAUCAAGCUUUAUUCGAUGCUUUAGUGCUUGAGCAUUCUUCCCUUCAGAGGGGAGAUUUUUGCCUUUAAAGAUAGGUCAGAGGAUGAUGAAGAGAUCCUGCAAUACCUCUUGGUACUGGCCAUGAGAAACUCAUUUAUUGAAAGAUGUGUAACAUUUUACGGAGAGUACAUUUAUUUUUUGUGUUAAUUUUCAUAUUAUUUGGAUCUAUAUACGAACACUUGGGACCUUAUGACCACUUCAAUAUUUUUUUAAAGAAACUAUAAAUUUUGCGCGCUUGACUGUAGAAACCUCGUGUGGCAAUCCUGUUGAAAUCUUUGGUUCUGUUUGACAUGGCUCAAUAAAUUGUUUACAGGAUGAUUCCCCAUAAGACUAAGCGUGGUGUAGCUGCACUUGCUCGGUGAAAGGUUUAUGAAGGAAUCCCACCUUCAUAUGACAACAUUAAGAGGAUGGUCAUCCCUGAUGCUCUCAAGUUAGUUCUUUUAUGACCAGUAAUAUGUCUGUUCCGCUCAUCUUUCAUAUAGUUGUGGUUUGCUAAAAAAGUUAUCUUUUGAAAAUCAGGGUUCUGAGGCUUGGAUGUUGGAUGGAACUAUUAUGAUACUAUCAAGGUGAGAUUUAAAUACCUAAUUAUUAUGUGCUUAUGACAAAAAGGCUUUUUCUAGGCUUCUUGUAUGUUUUACUUUUGAAUAAUGCAAUAAAUUCUGUUUUUGCAUCUGAUUUGAUCAAUGAUAGUAUUUGUGAUAUGUUAUUUUUUGUGUUAUAGCCAACGCUUUCAUACAUGAUAUCUCCCGAAUGUUUUUCCUUUUGCUUUUUAUUCAUGAACUUUAUGAGUUUGUGCCAUUAUACUUCAAAAUGAGUAGUACUGUGUUGGUGACCAUUGGCUGAUGUUGGUGACCAAUUAGUCACUCAUAACUUGAUGCAGGGAAAUUUGAAGUGGACAAUGAUUUGUUUGAUUUUGGAUCUGUUGUUUCAUGGUUAGCUGAGAAUUGAUGGGUUUUACUGGUACGAAAAAUGUAUAUAGAUAUAGAGGUGUUUAGAUUUGUAAAUAUGUCUGCAUUUUGGUAAUACAAUGAUAUAUUUGCGUGCUUAUUAAGAUAAUUCAUUUCUUAUUAGUAGUAAUUCUCUCUCUAAUUGAAGUUGGUUGUUUUUAAAAAAAAAAACUCUCCCUUACCCAUCAUUCCUUUUCUUAUUGUUUCUUGAAAAAGUUUUCUAUUUUGGAUUCUCAGAAAGUUUUCAAGUUCAUGCUUUGCUUACUAAAUUUUGUUUCUUUUUGGAAAUGGAAAUCCUUGAAAGUUUGUUUCAAGAUUCAUAUUUCUUAAUUUUUUAUUUAAUUCAAAUUAAAAAUCAUUCAAUUUGGGCUUCUGAAUCAUUUCAAGUUCAAGUCAUAAUUUUAUUGUAAAUCUUCACCUCACCCGAGAUCAAACUUUAUUCGAUGCUUUAGUGCUUGAGCAUUCUUCCCUUCAGAGGGGAGAUUUUUGCCUUUAAAGAUAGGUCAGGGGAUGAUGAAGAGAUCCUGCAAUACCUCUUGGUACUGGCCAUGAGAAACUCAUUUAUUGAAAGAUGUGUAACAUUUUACGGAGAGUACAUUUAUUUUUUGUGUCAAUUUUCAUAUUAUUUGGAUCUAUAUCCGAACACUUGGGACCUUAUGACCACUUCAAUAUUUUUUUUAAAGAAAUUAUAA